UACAGAGGUCCCAAGCGUUGUUCGGAUUCGUUGGGCGUAAAGGGUGCGUAGGCGGCGCGGUAAGUCGGGUGUGAAAUCUCGGAGCUUAACUCCGAAACUGCAUUCGAUACUGCCGUGCUUGAGGACUGGAGAGGAGACUGGAAUUUACGGUGUAGCGGUGAAAUGCGUAGAUAUCGUAAGGAAGACCAGUGGCGAAGGCGGGGUCUCUGGACAGUUCCUGACGCUGAGGCACGAAGGCCAGGGGAGCAAACGGG
rnacentral:rRNA from 1 species